AUUUUGGCUAUUGCAAAGUGGAACACUGGUUUUUGUGUGUGUUGACUUUAUUUUUCAAAAUAUAUUACGAAACAAUCGUUGUUUUUAGUGUUAAUGGGUUUUUAAAGCAAUCAAGAAACAAAUGUAGUCGGACACCAUAUUCAUUGCACCACGGAAAACUGUUUGUGUUUCUUAAAUGCACACACAAAGCUGUCUCAUGUUUACUAAAACCUAAUGUAAUAUACAAGUUUUCAACGAGCAAUAAAUUACCUUUAUUAAAACGAACAUAUUUUUAAUAGUGAUUAUUUUAAUUAAUAUAAAUCGCAUAUAGUAAUACAUUUAAUUAUGUUCAGUCGUUUAAAUAGCAUACUAAGCGUUUUUGGUUUUCUAUAUCCUGUAUUCAAGCAUUCUGCCACCCAUCCCAAAGAGUCACGCUUCACUUCUCUUGCUGUUUGGAUUCAUCGGUUUUUCCCUCCUUAUCGCCGGAGCUUACAAGGCAUCCCAGAAGUACAUUUUCCACGAUGACGGAAACUUUGACACUACGUUCGACGCCGGUAGGCGCGUCAGCAUUAGUCUUACCGCCGUCACUGUGACAUCACAAUUGUUAUGGCCUUUAAAUUUCUUGCAGAGCUCAACAUUGACUAGCAAGGUAUCACUUUUAAAAUUGCACAAUUGCAUUAUUUCAAGUCGCAAUUCUGAUUGAUUAUUUUCGGAAAAUAAUUGUAAAACUCCACUGAUCGCUGUAAAUAUAACCAUAUCUGCAAACAAAGGCGUAAGGAACCUUUUCCGAACUUGUGUAAUAUUAAAUUGUGAAAACUACGAUACUAUGAAAAAUAUAUAAUUGAAAUAGUCUAUAAUGGUUAAAGCAGUAAAACCAAGUUGAAUUCAACUUUUUGCUUUUACUGAGACUCGAACCCGAAACUGUAAGCUUUAAGGAGCGAAUGCUAAUGUGCUACCACUAGACGCGUUUGAUAUCAAUGUAGCCUGGUUAACAUUUGUUCUGGAUUUUAUAGCUUUGAUUGUGAAAAUUGUCAUUGUGAUAAAACUUGAACACGUCAUUUUAAAGUUAUACCUUAUAGAUGAAAGAAAAGGUCUAUAAUGUAUUUGCAUACUUGAUUUUGAUUCAUUAAUAUCAUUCAUACAUAUGCUACAAAACUUGUUACUUGCUUAAGUGUCUGUUUUAUCAGGCGCGAAAAAUGAACUUUUUGUUCGUUACAGAUUAGGAUCGGUGCUUGCCUGUGGUCAUCAAUAGGGACCGUUGUCGGCAUGUUUAUGUUCCCUGUGUUCUCUCUGUAUCUUAAAAUCGCGCGGUUCCGGGAGCAAAGACGUACCCUCAGAUAGCAUACGCAAGAUUUGGAAAGUCAGCGCACAUUAUAUUCUGCCUUGUUGCGCUUUUCUCUAGUCUUAUUGUGACCACAAAUAUGCUUAUGGCCGGCAAAUCCACAUUAGCGGUUCUUGUAAAGGACACAAACAAAGAGUUUAUAUUUCUGAUGUAAGCAGUACUAUUUGGAUCAUACUGCAUGAUUAGUGGCCUCAGAACCAGGUUUUAUAUAUCGUACAUAAACACUGCUCUGACCUUUAUAUCAUUGUCUGUGUAUGUCCUGUACUCCGUUUAUUAUCCGCUAGAAGAAAAUAAGGCACACACAUCAUUUCAGGCGUUUUACAACGCUGCAGUUUGUGUCGAAGGUCUAGACGGUAACUCUAAUAAUUCGUUAGCAACGUUCCGUUCAAAAUCAGGAAUUGUUCUUGGAGUAGUUUUGCUUUUUAUGACGACCUCAAUAGUUUUUACUGACCAAGCAAACUGGCAGAGCCGAAUUGCAGCAAAACCAUCACAGGGCGUUGUAGGCUUCUUUCUAGCAGCGUACAUCUGGUUUUUGGUCGAAACCGUGCUCGCCAUUACGACAUCUAUGACCUACCUCUCACUUAGCUUGACGAAUUCAACACAUGUGUUAUCUGCUAUAGAGAGUGACAAUGGUUACAUCACACCGUACGUAAUGCAGUUUAUAAUGGGGGACGCUGGUGCAUAUCUCUUACCUACGAUGCUGAUGAUGACGGUAAUGGCUACUGGAUCUGGCCAACUGAUGGGAAUAUCCUCUAUUCUUAUCUACGAUGUCUACAAGACAAAUGUUAAUCCGUUCAGGUAUCUUAAAACUCCUACAAGCUGUGUCUUAUGUGGCAAAGAGAGACGCCUCACUGAAACUCAAACAAAUGAUGCAGAAACAACGUGCACAUGCACAUCAGUUAUUGGAUGCAAAGAUUGCGACGAAGAUAUAGAAUUACGUGAUAAACAUGGAACGGAAAAAGUCACCUAUACAUGUUUGACGCAUGGCGAAUACAGAAAGUAUGAGGAUUGACUGAUGAGAUACAAGAGUCCUGGUGCAUGUUGUGUGUUACAAUUCUCAUUGUGCCGUACGGUCUCGUCAUAUCCGAACCAAAUUUGAAUGUCAACUGGGCAUUUCUGUGUCUACAAGGAUUAACAUGUCCGUUCUUGGUACCACUGCUUACUACCAUAUCCUGGUCAAUAACAACGGCCAAAGGUGCCAUUGCUGGUUGCAUUUCUGGAUUGACGGCAUCUCUUGCUGGAUUGAUGAUCAUGGCGUCCACCUACAAAAAUGGGCUUGCGAAUUUCUACGUGAAUACCGCACAGGACUUCAGCCUUUUGGCCGCUACGAUUUUCGGUAUAGUUGUAAGCACCAUGGCAACUAUAGGUGUCUCACUCUGUACCAUAGCAUCAAAUUGGACAGACGAAAAGGAAAAGGGCGAAAUGGAAUGGGCAAAAACAACCAAUAUUGACAACCCGCUAAGUGCGUUUCGUUUGGUCUACGAGGAAGAAUUAGCAGAAAUAGAGAGUGGGUCUAUUAUAACCUCAUUGAUUAUGGAUAAGGUAUUCCGGAAAGCUCGUUUUGUUGCAAUAGAAGGCGGGGCAUUGAGUAUUAUGUUUUCCCUCGUAAAAUUACCCGCCAUUCCGCUAAAUUUCGAUAGUCUCACUUUUGAACAGUUUUCGUCAUGGCUCAAGACGUUCCAGAUAUAUUGCUUCGUGUGCACCUUUGCUUUGGUUGUUGUUCCUCCAUUUGAAGAAGGUUAUCAGAUGUGGGCAAGGUACAAACAGAGUAAGGCCACCAGGCGUAAGAAAAAAUGGAAACCAAAUUCAACAGAACAAUAUCAUAUCAAGAAGAAGAUUUAUUGUGUUGAACAUUUAAUGGAUUUUCAUUAAAACAGAAAAAGUAACAAACCUGAAAUCUGGCCGUUGGUACCUUUUACCGAUAUGGGAUAUAUUUGUAGAUUUUUACCGAUAUGGAUCUUCAUGUUAAAACGUUGAUGACAACAAUACAUGUCACCCAGGCAGUUUCUUCCUGUGUUUAUAUUGAGCUUUGUCGAACUUUAAAAACGUGUGUCUGAUUAAAAUGUCAUGAGUGA